ACAAAAACUAUUAAAUUUAAUACACAACGUCAUAAUAUCUGUCGAAAUCUUAGUGUGCCAAUUUCCAAAUCUAAAAAUAUAUUUUGGGUUUUUCGUUUUUCGGUUCCUUUCCCUUUCUGUAUGCCGCCCGUUUAUGCCAUAGAGCCAGUCAGAGCCUGAAAUUUUAAUUUGUUUUAUUAACAAAGAUAUUUUAUCGCUAAUGUCGCGGCAUCCAUAAAGGCCGUUUUCCUCCAUACAUACGAUACAUAAAUACGAAUGCUACAACAACGCAAAAUGCACUUGCCCGGACAUUUGGUGAAGAUAUGGCUGUUGAAUGAAGGGGGCUUGGGGCGCUAUACCGGGGUCUCAUACACUAAUAAAACUCUUCAACGUUAAAUGAACCGACAAGCAAAGGCCGCGCGACAAAAAAAAAAAAAAAAAAAAAGAAGUGGAAUGAAAACGAAAUAAAACCUGAUGAGCCAAUCAAGCGAAACCUCAUUUUUCGUCUGGCGACGUUGUUGAUGUCACUUUUUCAAGAUAUUCUAAUUUAUGGCGAUGGUCUAAUGGAGAAUGCAUUUAGAAAGGAUUGAUUACAAAAUGAGUAAAGAGUUAAAAUGUGAAAUAUUCUCUUAAUGGAACUGCUAUUAUUACGAAUUCUCUGCAUAGAAUAAUAAAUUAAUAAAUUAUAAAAAUAUCGAAA